GCUGGUGUAGCUCAAUUGGCAGAGCAGCUGAUUUGUAAUCAGCAGGUUGGGGGUUCGAUUCCUCUCGCCAGCUCCA
rnacentral:tRNA from 1 species